rnacentral:rRNA from 1 species
UACGGGGGGGGCAAGCGUUGUUCGGAAUUACUGGGCGUAAAGGGCUCGUAGGCGGCCAACUAAGUCGGACGUGAAAUCCCUCGGCUUAACCGGGGAACUGCGUCCGAUACUGGAUGGCUUGAGUUCGGGAGAGGGAUGCGGAAUUCCAGGUGUAGCGGUGAAAUGCGUAGAUAUCUGGAGGAACACCGGUGGCGAAGGCGGCAUCCUGGACCGGUAUUGACACUGAGGCGCGAAAGCCAGGGGAGCAAACGGG